rnacentral:misc_RNA from 1 species
GGAAGCUGUCAGAUUUUGUGCAUUGAUUCCUCUACGACAUGCUAUACAAGUGAAGGUUCCUGUUCCCAGAAGAACUUGGGUGAAACUCAAACUGAUCAGAUUGGUUCAUCCAUAUCUAGUUUAGAAUUCGCUAGCACCUCCACGAGUGAUUCUUGGCAGCUUAAAUUGAGGAUUGAAUCUUCCAAAUCUGGGUCAUGUAGUGGAACCUCUGAGGACUUCAGUUUUGGGGUCAACAAGAAUUCAUCAAAAGUGAAUUUUUUGAUUGGUGAUAAUCAAAGAAUUAAUGGAGACAAGAGACUUGAACUUAUGGAAGAGAGUCAAGAUCCUUUUGCUUUUGAUGAUGAUUUUGGACCUUCACGAUGGGAUUUAAUGUCUACUAAGCAAAAGGUGCCGGAAACUCAAAUUAGGCAGACAUCACUUUUUGAACGUGAUGAUGAAUACCUAUCUCUUAUUGUGCCAAGCCAGCAAGAGUCUAGUUGCCA